rnacentral:misc_RNA from 1 species
UCCUACUUAACGUAGGCAGUCUCUUUAGAGUGCCCAACUGAAUGCUGGCAACUAAAGACAAGGGUUGCGCUCGUUGCGGGACUUAACCCAACAUCUCACGACACGAGCUGACGACAGCCAUGCAGCACCUGUGCUAGGACCCGAAGGCUACGAUAUCUCUACCGUAUUCCCUAGCAUGUCAAACCCGGGUAAGGUUUUUCGCGUUGCAUCGAAUUGAACCACAUGCUCCACCGCUUGUGCGGGCCCCCGUCAAUUUCUUUGAGUUUUAAUCUUGCGACCGUACUUCCCAGGCGGAACACUUAACGCGUUAGCUUCGACACUGAAGGGGUCAAUACCUCCAACAUCAAGUGUUCAUCGUUUACGGCGUGGACUAC